CGGAAAAAUUUUUUUCCGGUAACUGAUUUUUUUAGAUAGGGGCCCCUAAACAAAAUUUGCCCCGGGCCCCCGCCAACCUCUGGGCGGCCCUGUAUAACAUCUUAAAGUUACUGCAUUGCUCUACUCAAACACAAUAAUGAUGUCAAAGUAUUAUAAUAGGCUAAUACAGUAAUAAAACUCAAACUGUGUUUUAUACACUGAGAUUUAUAUGGUGAAGUUAAUUAAACGGUUUGGCUGGUCUUGCAUUUUGGUACAUUACAUGG